GCUGGGUGUUCAGCGUGUCGCUGCGCGGUUCAUUUGGCGAGACUCAAAUCAGACGACUACACAUGUAGAACUGUACGAAAAAGACUUAUGGACGGGGGUUCAAAUCCCCCCAGCUCCACCA
rnacentral:tmRNA from 1 species